GAUGAACGCUGGCGGCGUGCCUAAUACAUGCAAGUCGAGCGAACAGACGAGGAGCUUGCUCCUCUGACGUUAGCGGCGGACGGGUGAGUAACACGUGGAUAACCUACCUAUAAGACUGGGAUAACUUCGGGAAACCGGAGCUAAUACCGGAUAAUAUAUUGAACCGCAUGGUUCAAUAGUGAAAGACGGUUUUGCUGUCACUUAUAGAUGGAUCCGCGCCGCAUUAGCUAGUUGGUAAGGUAACGGCUUACCAAGGCGACGAUGCGUAGCCGACCUGAGAGGGUGAUCGGCCACCCUGGAACUGAGAAACGGUACAGACUCCUACGGGAGGCAGCAGUAGAGAAUCUUACGCAAUGGGCGAAGGCCUGACGGAGCAACGCCGCGUGAAUGAUGAAGGUCUUCGGAUCCUAAAACUCUGUUAUUAGGAAAGAACAAAUGUGUAAGUAACUAUGAACGUCUUGACGGUACCUAAUCAGAAAGCCACGGCUAACUACGUG
rnacentral:rRNA from 1 species